GCCCAGACUCCUACGGGAGGCAGCAGUGGGGAAUAUUGCACAAUGGGGGAAACCCUGAUGCAGCGACGCCGCGUGAGCGAUGAAGUAUUUCGGUAUGUAAAGCUCUAUCAGCAGGGAAGAAAAUGACGGUACCUGACUAAGAAGCCCCGGCUAACUACGUGCCAGCAGCCGCGGUAAUACGUAGGGGGCAAGCGUUAUCCGGAUUUACUGGGUGUAAAGGGAGCGUAGACGGCGGCGCAAGCCAGAUGUGAAAGCCCGGGGCUCAACCCCGGGACUGCAUUUGGAACUGUGUGGCUGGAGUGUCGGAGAGGCAGGCGGAAUUCCUAGUGUAGCGGUGAAAUGCGUAGAUAUUAGGAGGAACACCAGUGGCGAAGGCGGCCUGCUGGACGAUGACUGACGUUGAGGCUCGAAAGCGUGGGGAGCAAACAGGAUUAGAUACCCCUGUA
rnacentral:rRNA from 1 species